CUGCAAGCGGCAUCUCUCUCAGACACCAAUAUCUGCCCAAGGAGUAGGAGUAUUUCCGUUGGGAAUUCGAUGAGGUACAUUUUGCCUCUCGCCUGAGUAAUUAGUUAUUAAUCCGUAUCAAAGGCUCCUUGAACUCGGCUUUUAUUAUUGUACGUCUUUUAAUCCCCCUCCCACGUUGGGGUGGACGUCUUGCCCACCAAUCAGGCGAGAGAGUGCUAAAACAACCGACUAUUUUUGGGAGUCAUGGCUAGCUCCUCAUAAAUUAUAAGGCUUGGAAUUUUGAAAACUAAAAAAACGAAAAUAUAGUAAAGAUCCCCUUCAUAAAAGCAUUACUUGAAACCAAUAAUUGCACGAAGUACAUAUUGGAAAAGUUCCGGCAUCUACUUGAAUGAAGCAGAAGAUAAAGAAAUGUGUUUCAAGAUUAUAAAAUAAUAAUAUAUCUUCUUAGAUUCAAAAGCCACCCAUUUAUUUAUUAACUUAUUUUGGAGAGAAGAGGUAAAAAAAAAUGAAGGAAAGUAAAAGGAUGAAUGCGUUGGUGUUGUGAUAUGAUAAAUAGUUUGUAUGGGCAAAGGAGAAAAGAAAGUGAAGUUUAUAAAAAUAAUUAACAAUGGAUACAUGAUUUUGGGGCAUACAUGACUUCUAGUGUAAAAGGUAAAUAGGAUGUGUUAAAAAAGCGUGGGCAGGGCCGUGAAUGAAAAAAAAAAAAAAGGAAAAAAGAAGAGGAAAUUGGAAGAACUGGGAAGUUAGGGGCGAAGAAAGGGGGAGUAAGAGAUUGCGAAUUUGAUGCGCGUCGUUUGUGCAUGCGUACAGGGGUGUAUGGGGAAUGUAGUAGGGAAUUCUUCCUGAAAACGUGAGUCAAUUGCAUCUGAUCGUGGGGUGCCGGGGAACAGGUGUGGGAUUGACGAGGAGGGGUACACGAAAGUGCUUGGAGGCAUACAGUAAGGGGGAAGGGUGAUUAUGAAGGUUGCGAGGGGCUUGCUCUGACAAGGGCGCGGGGCCGCGGUAUCAUUCAUAUCAGAACGUGUGAAAUGCUCAGGUCAGAUGUAAAAGUAUGCCGAAUCAUUGAAAAUGCCAGAGAUGCGAACUUCGCUGAGGGAGGGGGGGAAGAAAGGAGGGUUUAAAAAAGAAUAAAACAGAUUCCUGCUUCUUUUUCUCAAAAAUUUUUUCAAUUCGACUGCUAUCCAAUAUCCUAGCUGAGCUGGGAAAACUCGCACAGGCGUGGCGUGCCGUUCAUUCUUUUUCCGUCUUACCAUUUCGUGAAAGUGCUCCAGUCGUCGGCAUCGCUUCCUGUGCCUCGUCGAGCAGUUAUUUUGGUGAUAGAACGGGUAUUAACUGGACAACGCCCAAUGUGCGUAAUAUGGCGGAGUGCUUCGCACGGAUAAUACAUGUCACUUCCAUUAAAUGGUGCCUUAUGACAUAACUUGUGCCGUCGCAAGGCCUAUUUGGCGUUUGACCUGUUCACGAGCCCAUCUAGCUGUCUCAAUUGUGCGAGGACCAAAUUCUCUGUUUGUUCGCGUUUCCCGAAUCAAGUUGGAAACAAAAUCAUUGCGGAAGAGAGCCGCAAAUUCACCAUUGGGGAAUGUAUCAGCG
rnacentral:sRNA from 1 species